rnacentral:rRNA from 1 species
GGCGGCGUGUCUAAGGCAUGCAAGUCGAGCGGAUCAUUUUUUGUAGCAAUACGAAGAAUGGUUAGCGGCAAACGGGUGCGUAACACAUUGGUAACUUGCCCCGAAGUCAGGCAUAACCCUCCGAAAGGAGGACUAAUUCCAUGAUAGUCAUGCGGAGACGAAAGUCUCUGCAUGUAAAGCGCAAAACGCGCUUCGGGAGAGACCUAUGUCCUAUCAGCUUGUUGGCGGGGUAACGGCCCACCAAGGCUAUGACGGGUAGGGGGUGUGAGAGCACGACCCCCCUCACUGGGACUGAGACACUGCCCAGACACCUACGGGUGGCUGCAGUCGAGAAUAUUCCCCAAUGGCCGAAAGGCUGAGGGAGCGACGCCGCGUGCAGGAUGAAGGGCUUCGGCUCGUAAACUGCUUUUACCAGGGAAGAACAUUGACGGUACCUGGGGAAUAAGAGGUUGCUAACUCUGUGCCAGCAGCAGCGGUAAUACAGAGACCUCAAACAUUAUCCGGAUUUAUUGGGCGUAAAGGGUCCGCAGGCGGCUUUGCACGUCGAUGGUCAAAUCAUCGGGCUCAACCCGGUGGCCGCCGUCG